rnacentral:rRNA from 1 species
AACGAACGCUGGCGGCAGGCUUAACACAUGCAAGUCGAGCGCCCCGCAAGGGGAGCGGCAGACGGGUGAGUAACGCGUGGGAAUCUACCCAUCUCUACGGAAUAACGCAUGGAGACGUGUGCUAAUACCGUAUACGUCCUUCGGGAGAAAGAUUUAUCGGAGAUGGAUGAUCCCGCGUUGGAUUAGCUAGUUGGUGGGGUAAAGGCCUACCAAGGCGACGAUCCAUAGCUGGUCUGAGAGGAUGAUCAGCCACACUGGGACUGAGACACGGCCCAGACUCCUACGGGAGGCAGCAGUGGGGAAUAUUGGACAAUGGGCGCAAGCCUGAUCCAGCCAUGCCGCGUGAGUGAUGAAGGCCCUAGGGUUGUAAAGCUCUUUCACCGGUGAAGAUAAUGACGGUAACCGGAGAAGAAGCCCCGGCUAACUUCGUGCCAGCAGCCGCCGUAACAC